rnacentral:rRNA from 1 species
CCUACGGGAGACAGCAGUGAGGAAUAUUGGUCAAUGGGAGAGAGCCUGAACCAGCCAAGCCGCGUGAGGGAAGACGGCCCUAUGGGUUGUAAACCUCUUUUGUCGGAGAACAAAACCCGGGACGUGUCCCGCACUGCGUGUCUCCGGAGAAAAAGCAUCGGCUAACUCCGUGCCAGCAGCCGCGGUAAUACGGAGGAUGCGAGCGUUAUCCGGAUUUAUUGGGUUUAAAGGGUGCGUAGGCGGUACGUUAAGUCAGCGGUAAAAUUGCGGGGCUCAACCCCGUCGAGCCGUUGAAACUGCGAUACUUGAGUUGGUGAGAAGUACGCGGAAUGCGCGGUGUAGCGGUGAAAUGCAUAGAUAUCGCGCAGAACUCCGAUUGCGAAGGCAGCGUACCGGCGCCAGACUGACGCUGAGGCACGAAAGCGUGGGGAUCGAACAGGAUUAGAUACCCUUGUAGUC